GGUCGGAAAUCGGGAGACACUGGCGCAUGCCAGGGCCGAAGGAGCAACCGCCCCGGUAAACUCUCAGGCAAAACGAACCGUUUCCGCUGA
rnacentral:ncRNA from 1 species